rnacentral:rRNA from 1 species
CGCGAGCGUUGUCCGGAUUUAUUGGGCGUAAAGAGCUCGUAGGCGGCUUGUCGCGUCGUCCGUGAAAACCUGUGGCUCAACUGCAGGCUUGCGGUCGAUACGGGCAGGCUAGAGUUCGGUAGGGGAGACUGGAAUUCCUGGUGUAGCGGUGAAAUGCGCAGAUAUCAGGAGGAACACCGGUGGCGAAGGCGGGUCUCUGGGCCGAUACUGACGCUGAGGAGCGAAAGCGUGGGGAGCGAACAGG